rnacentral:rRNA from 1 species
UUGAACGCUGGCGGCAGGCCUAAUACAUGCAAGUCGAGCGGUUGAGAGUAGCUUGCUACUUGAUGCAGCGGCGGACGGGUGAGUAACGCGUGGGAAUCUGCCCAGUAGUGGGGGACAACAGCCGGAAACGGCUGCUAAUACCGCAUACGCCCUACGGGGGAAAGGGGGGGAUCUUCGGACCUCUCGCUAUUGGAUGAGCCCGCGUCGGAUUAGCUAGUUGGUAGGGUAAAGGCCUACCAAGGCUACGAUCCGUAACUGGUCUGAGAGGAUGAUCAGUCACACUGGAACUGAGACCCGGUCCAGACUCCUACGGGAGGCAGCAGUGGGGAAUAUUGGACAAUGGGGGAAACCCUGAUCCAGCCAUGCCGCGUGUGUGAAGAAGGCCUUAGGGUUGUAAAGCACUUUCAGUGGGGAGAAAGGUUUGUCACCUAAUACGUGAUGAAAUUGAUGUUACCCACAGAAGAAGCACCGGCUAACUCCGUGCCAGCCGCCGCCGUAA